CCCUGCCCAGAGUUCCUUUUCGAUGUAACAUGACAACUGGGCGUAACAAACAGUUCAGGGUGAUGGCGUGAAAAAGACAAUUUUUACAAAAACAAGAUAGCACAGAGACUGAGCCUUUGUGCCUUUACAAGGUUCGGAUUUUAUAUUUUGUCCUUUGCUUGUUCUUUUUAAAAUAGUGUAAUAACUGAAAUGAUAUGAGUGUAUCGGUUCUAUAGUUAAUGUUUGGUAAUGUGUUUCUUGUUGGGUCAGGUUGACAUUAAUUCCUGCAUCUGCCUACUGCCCUCAUGCCUCAUGGGAGCUGAAUUUCCAGAUUCUUCAUACCCCAUUCUUCUCUAUGGCCCUUCUCUCCAAACAGACUACAUCUCCCAUGAGGUAAAACAACAGCUCAACCACAGGGAGAGACUGCAGUGCAUCAUGGGAGAUGCAGUCUGGCCAAGCAGCAUUGUCAACUCUGGUUGGAUGUAUUCUGGGAGGUUUCACCAUAUGCCAGAAUGGCGUUAGGGAUUGAGCUACUCUGAAACUCAUUUACUGUGGGGCGAGCAGUUUGCCCCCAGUGGGUGUCUAUCAGAUUUUUCAUGUGCACCUAAAUUUCAAGCACAUUACACAACUAAACAAUACUGAAAAAUCACCAGUUGUAAUAAUGUGAACCUUAUUUUUACAAGGGUGAUGGGAUCUAGACUACCAGCAUCAGUACACCCAUAGGAUGGUUGAGGGGAGGGCAAGCUCAAGUUGCCUUGACAUUUCAAACACUGGCAGGACUAUGGCAUCUCCAGGAAUGUCUGAAACUAACGACAAGCUGAUGACAAGGUCUGUUUCAACAGCCCCUCCAGCUUGUGGUUUAUUUUGUUGUUCUGACUUCUUCCAAAGAACCCAGCUCAAAUCAGAUCAUUGUUGUCUUCUUCAACAUGGGAAACUGCCACCCCUUUCCCGCCACCCACUCCUGAAACUAGUUAGAUCUUCGCCACCCACAUUAGAAUUGGACACUUCAACUUGUGAGAAGUGAAUGCCAGUUCCACCCAGGUUGAAUGCUGAUCUGAUGAGAUUCCUGCGGCGUCUAUAAACAGUGGUCAUCGGUAUGGGGAAGCCUUCAUGUCCACACAUUAUAAACUCCAUGGCUUGCUAUGUGUUUGUAUCAUGGACUACAACUAAAUAAUAAUAUUAGUACAAUUUCCAAGUAAAUGUAUUCUAUAUAGAAACGUAUGCUGAAAAUGUGCAUGUAUUGAACUGAGAGCACCUUACUUAUGCCUCUAGAGCCUUUUACAUAGGUUUGGCAGAAUUUGAUUUUUUAUUUUCAAUCACUUUGAUAGUUAAUCUCAAUGUUUAUUUUUAAGCAUUUUUUAAGAACGUUAUCAAUGUACAUUUUCAGUUACACAAAGUUAUGGGUUUUAAUAAUUUGUAUUUAUAUUUAUCAAUGUACAUGUUCAGAGCUGCGGGAAGUCAUGG
rnacentral:lncRNA from 1 species